rnacentral:rRNA from 1 species
UACGUAGGUGGCAAGCGUUGUCCGGAUUUACUGGGCGUAAAGGGCGUUGCAGGCGGUUUGUUAAAGUUCAGGGUGAAAGCUCCCGGCUCAACUGGGGAGAGGUCCUUGGAUACUGGCAGACUUGAGGAGGGUAGAGGAGAGUGGAAUUCCCGGUGUAGUGGUGAUAUGCGUAGAUAUCGGGAGGAACACCAGUGGCGAAGGCGGCUCUCUGGGCCCUACCUGACGCUGAGACGCGAAAGCGGUGGGGAGCGAACCGG